GAUGAAGAACGCAGCGAAAUGCGAUACGUAGUGUGAAUUGCAGAAAUACGUGAACCAUCGAAUCUUUGAACGCAUAUUGCGCUCGAGGCUUCGGCCAAGAGCAUGUCUGCCUCAGCGUCGGGUUAAUACUCGCCUAACCCAAAUUCCUAUUUGGGUCAGCGCGGACCUGGCCGUCCCAGCUAGUUUAAAUACUGACUGGGUUGGCUGAAGAACAGAGGUUGAUGCAAUGGACCCGUUAAGGGCCUCGGCUUUGGUAGUGCAACUUGUUGCUCAAUGCUAACAGCUGAUGGCCUGGGACCGUGCUUGUCGACCCAAACCAGGAAACCAUAUUAACCAUUUUCUCGACCUGAGCUCAGGCAAGAACACCCGCUGAACUUAAGCAUAUCAAUAAGCGGAGGA
rnacentral:misc_RNA from 1 species